GAAUUUUCCUGCCUCAUAGUCUUCCAGAUAAUCAAAACAUACAACAGAGUCCGGCGCCCCAAUCAGGAACCAAACCUUGGGAACCAGAGCUUUAAUCCCCUAAUAUUUCUGCCCCCGGCUCUCUGUGACAUGUGUGGGACAUCUCUUAUGUAUGUGGGACUCAAUUUAACAUUCGCAUCAAGCUUCCAGAUGUUGAGAGGUGCGGUCAUCAUCUUCACGGCUCUUUUGUCCGUUGCGUUCCUUGGAUCAACGAUUCGUAAGGUGAUGUGGACGGGGAUCUUCAUCAUACUGGUGGGCCUGGCAUUAGUGGGGGUGUCUGAUAUCAUAUUUGGAAAUACUGGUGCUCAGACAGACACCAAUGGAAUUAUUGCAGGUGAUCUCCUCAUCAUUAUGGCCCAAAUCAUUGCUGCUGUACAGAUGGUGUAUGAAGAGAAGUUUGUCACACGCUACAGUAUACCAGCCAUGCAGGCUGUUGGUUGGGAAGGAUUUUUUGGGUUCAUCGUCCUAGGAAUUUUGAACAUCAUUUUCUUUUACAUCGAUGCUGGAGCCUUCAGCAAGUUACCAACUCAUAAAUUAGAAGACCCAAUAGAUGCUUUUAUACAAAUUGGAAAUAACUGGAGGAUUCUGCUAGCCACAGUUGGAAACGUUGUUAGUAUAGCUUUCUUCAACUUUGCUGGGAUUAGUGUAACCAAAGAACUGAGUGCGACGACACGCAUGGUGCUUGAUAGUGUGAGGACCCUGUUCAUCUGGCUGAUCACGCUCUUCCUGGCUUGGCAGGACUUCCAGAUCCUCCAGCUGGUCGGCUUUGUCAUCCUGCUGUCAGGGAUGUGUCUGUACAACAACAUCAUCAUCGUGCCUGCUUUCCGGUACUGUCAGGAGAGGAGGAGGGCCGGGCGACACAUGACGCAGGUCGGAGGGGAACACGAAAGACUUGUCAACGACACAGCGUCAGGUACAGGUGGAUUCCAAGAUCCUACAGCUACCUAGACACCCUAGAUGUCUUAGAGACAGAGGAAAUUCAGAAUUCUGUGGAAUGACUUUCCUCUAAAUUGAAAUGUUCAAUUCUGUGAUAUUUAAAAGAGCUAGGACCUCUUGUUCAUAGUUUGUGUAUUCAUACAAUUUCACAUUCCCAGUAUAUGUUUAUUCAUGUCUAUACAAAUUUACAUUUAUUGUUAAUUUUUUAUCUUUGUUAAUUACUUACUACUUGUUUUCUUAAAAUUUGAGUUCACUUUUGUAAUUUUAAGGGAAACAAUUGUGUCCAUAUCUGCAAAUUGUUAAAUGUACAUAUUAAGUAAAUUGUAAAUGUACAUGUAUAUUUGCUUUUGUGUUUGUUUCAGAGUCAACAGUUUUAAUCACUAAACUUUAUAAGUAUUUUUAAAAAUCGUCAUAAAUUUUGUAGCAUUUUAAUUUCUUAGUAGCAGGGUAUUUCUAUUUAAUACCCUUUUAUAUCAUUCACAUCUUAUUAGCAUCAGAUCUCGCAAUAUUUUUUGAUUAAUUAAUAUUCAACAAUUUCAAAAUUACCCAUGCUGGUACAGAUUUGAUUUUACAGUGUAAAUUUUAUUGCAGUAGUUUGAUGACAAUGCUAUUUUCAAAUUGUUGUUGAACAAUUGUUGUUGAAAGCAGUUUGUGCAAGUUUUAAAACCAUUUUGUAACAUAGAUAUCUUUAUACUAUUUUUAGAAUUGUUUUAGGUUAUUAAGCCACCUGGUUCGUGUCCCCGGCAGUAGAAAAAUAAAUUUUUCUUUCACACAAGUAUAAGGGACUGUAGAUUUGUAAGGGAAAAUAUCUUUUUUGUCAAACAGGUCACGAAAAAUAGCAAAAUUACAAUGGCUUUAAGGAAGCUAUGUUUGUAAGUGUCAGGAAAAAGUGGAAUUUUAUAAGGAAGUCCAAUGCAAGGCAAGCCACAUAAAGGUAGAAAGAGAGACUUCAGUUAAACAUGAUACAUUGUAAGCUAAGAAGACUGAGUGAAAGACACAAUGCAUGAGGAAGUUUUAAAUUUUAAAUUAUUUUUACAAGACAUUUAAAUCUCUGUUAUUAGAUUAUUUGAUAAAUGUAUGCCUCACUGAUGUGUAGAGCCAGUACUUUAAUUGAGCAUAUCCAACAGCUCAGAAUAAUUUUCUUUUUCAGUAAAUUCAGCAUUCAGUAUUAAUGGGGUUUUUUUUUUUAACUUUUUCAUUUUGGCCCAAAACCAGUUCAUUAUAUUUUUUGUUGUUCAGACAGGUUGAUACAGAUAAACAUGUUGGUCCCAUAAUAUUUCAUAUAACAUUACUAUGUGUACAUUAUGAAAAAUUUGACUGUUGUAUAUUAAAGUUGUGACCAC
rnacentral:misc_RNA from 1 species